GCUAUCCCGACUAACGGAGGGACUGACUCCACGGAGGGUGUAAGACCCGUGUGGGCGCGUGUUAUAGCUGAUUGGGGUUGGCCUCUUUUCCCUGAGAGUCGCGUUGCUCUGGCAUGCAGCGCUAAGCAGGUCGUAAACUCGAUCUAAGGCUAAAUAUUUCCACAGGCCCGAUAGCGAACAAGUACCGUGAGGGAAAGUUGAAAAGCACUCUGAAGAGAGAGUCAAAAGACCGUGAAACCGCUCAGAGUAUAAGCCCAUGGAGCUCGGAAGGCAUACCGCAGUCCAAGAACAAGGUCGGCUUGCAUGAAUGGUCCGUCAGGCAGUGGCAUUGAGUUGAUAACACGCUGACGUGCGGGGGAGGACACUGGUCGUCAAGACGGGCUUCGGCCCGUUUUGCUCGGCCAGCUACUCCCUUGAGCACGGACGUUCAAGGGUGCUUGCCGUAUGCGGAAACGCCCACCACGUCUCGUUGUGUGGUCACCCACAGGCUCGACUGUCGGUCGCGUGUUCACCUAGUUCGCAAAGAUGUGUCGAUGGCUGUCCCUGGCCCCCCCUCUAGGGGUCGGGACUGACACUUGCGUUCGAGGCUACUUAUCUU
rnacentral:rRNA from 1 species